UACGUAGGAGGCGAGCGUUGUCCGGAAUUACUGGGUGUAAAGCGCGUGUAGGCGGUGAGUUAAGUCUGUUGUGAAAGCGCCCGGCUCAACCGGGCAGAGUCAAUGGAAACUAGCGCACUGGAGGUCGGUAGAGGCGAGUGGAAUUCCCGGUGUAGUGGUGAAAUGCGUAGAGAUCGGGAGGAACACCAGUGGCGAAGGCGGCUCGCUGGGCCGGACCUGACGCUGAGACGCGAAAGCUAGGGGAGCAAACAGG
rnacentral:rRNA from 1 species